AGUUCCCGGCGUUCAGAGAACACUAGCCGCCUCCGGUCCCCGGUGGGUGGCUGUAUGUGUGGAAAUGAAACUGGGAGGAGGAGGGAGAGAGGGAAGAGCGGGCACGCACUUCUCGGCUGUCAUCCACCUUGCCUCUUCCGACCCUCCAGCCCGCUCCCCACCGGGGUAGGGGGUUGGGGGAGGUGGGAGGAAAACAGUUCAGCAAACGCCCACCUCCAAGUACCAGUAGCUGGUUCAGCUGUCGGUGAAUCAGACACUGUCUCAGCAGCUUGUCACCUGCGCUUGGGAGGGGAACAGAGGGCAACCUUGGAACUUGGGAGGGGGAGGUUGGGAAAGUGCAGGAUCCAGCACUGGGCCUGGGCCUGGGCGUAGGGGUGACGCCUACGGCUCGGAAAAGGGCUAUCCACCUCCCUACACCUACACACGUCUCGACCCAGUACCCGGACGCCGAGUAGAGGGGGUGGGACAAGAGCAUGGGGGCCGUACAGAAGGGGGAACUGGAAGAAGGGGAGGGGAGAAUGGGUUGGGGGUGUGCUGCGGCGGGAAGCGCUGGGUGCCGGGCGGGCGCGGCCGCGGGGAGAGCUGCUGCCCGGUGCCUGCCCGCGCGAGGUUAUGCGAGGUAACCGAGCGGAGAGGAGGAGGGAGGCGGCGGGGGCCGCGGGCCGGGGUGUCUGGCACUCGUUGGACAAAGAGAUGAUGAAACGUGAGCGCUAUAUUUACCAAGGGGGUGGAGACGGGGCGGGGGGGGCGGAGAGUAAAAAGGACAAACUGUUCCACAACAACCACAGGAAACACAGCCCAUUCUGACUCACUGGGAGGGCCACACCGAACCCCUCGCAGGCUUAGCCUGAAGGCAGACGCGGGGCGCAGGUGCUCCCGGGACCGGACCGAACCUGGGCUGGGGCUGGAUUGAUUUAUAAAUAAAGGCACAUUCGAUCCAAGA
rnacentral:lncRNA from 10 species